CAGUCGCCACGGGAAUACGGAGGGUGCAAGCGUUAAUCGGAAUUACUGGGCGUAAAGCGCACGCAGGCGGUCUGACAAGUCAGAUGUGAAAUCCCCGGGCUUAACCUGGGAACUGCAUUUGAAACUGUCAGGCUGGAGUCUUGUAGAGGGGGGUAGAAUUCCAGGUGUAGCGGUGAAAUGCGUAGAUAUAGGAAGGAACACCAGUGGCGAAGGCGACCACCUGGACUGAUACUGACACUGAGGUGCGAAAGCGUGGGGAGCAAACAGGAUUAGAUACCCCGGUAGUCCCUGUCUCUUAUAC
rnacentral:rRNA from 1 species